UACGAAGGGUGCAAGCGUUACUCGGAAUUACUGGGCGUAAAGCGUGCGUAGACGGUUGCGUAAGUCAGAUGUGAAAGCCCCGGGCUCAACCUGGGAAUUGCAUUUGAGACUGCGUAGCUAGGGUGCGGAAGAGGGAAGCGGAAUUUCCGGUGUAGCGGUGAAAUGCGUAGAUAUCGGAAGGAACACCAGUGGCGAAAGCGGCGUGCUGGAUCUCUUCUGACGCUGAGGCGCGAAAGCCAGGGGAGCAAACGGG
rnacentral:rRNA from 1 species